AUGUCACGAAUAAAUGCAAAUAGAUUGAAGGUAAAUAUGGAGUAUGAAUGGAGAUUUAGAAAAAGUACCAAAUCGGAGUUCCUCCGAGGGGUCUUCAAGGUCAGGUAUGGUAUUCGAAUAUUUUCUACGCGUUAUCGUCUGCUUCUUCCUUUUGAACAUUGGUGUGUUAUGAUAAGUUACAGAGUCAUAGGUGUUGGAUGCGGUUUUGUGCGAUAUAGAGAGUUUAUGAAGUUCAUAGGUUUGUGUUUUGCAGGUUGA